UACGGGGGGGGCAAGCGUUGUUCGGAAUUACUGGGCGUAAAGGGCGUGUAGGCGGCCAACUAAGUCCGACGUGAAAUCCCCAGGCUUAACCUGGGAACUGCGUCGGAUACUGGAUGGCUUGAAUUCGGGAGAGGGAUGCAGAAUUCCAGGUGUAGCGGUGAAAUGCGUAGAUAUCUGGAGGAAUACCGGUGGCGAAGGCGGCCCCCUGGGCCCUACCUGACGCUGAGGCGCGAAGGCUAGGGGAGCGAACGGG
rnacentral:rRNA from 1 species